UUAUGUGCAACAUUUAUUUAUUUUUGCACUUUUCAUAUUAGAAACGUAUUUUUCGACAAAUCGGCACUUCGCUAGCCUUACCUGAGUAUGCUACGGUUUUUCGUGUGCGGGAAUUUACCUAAGCGAUUUUCAUAGAGUUAAUAAAUAUGUUGCGCAUGUGAUACUUAGCCGUGAAAUUAUAUGAAUUAUUAGUUCGUAUAUUCCGCAUAUGAGCAAAUUAGAGAGAGUGGAAAAUUCAGUUAAUAAACAACAUAUGCUUUGACAGAUGAGAAGUUCACUUAAGGUUUUAAUAUAACAUCAAGAGGCUCCGUUUGCCUUCGAAAGACAUUUUUUACGACAAGCAUAGUCUAUUUUAAGAAAAAAAUUUACUUGCGCUGAUGCCGACGACCUUGCGGUAGCUGAUUGGAAACUAAAAUUGCGGAUAAUUUCUGACCAAGUGAGUUUGAAUUUUUUCCAUUUUGCGAAAUUUGUUUUGAAGCUUUGGAGAAGUUUAAAUGAAUUUG